rnacentral:lncRNA from 1 species
CAUCCAUCGCUUCGGUCGGAUCAAACAUCCAUCGCUUCGGCUGAAUCAACCAUUUCAGCAUAGCACAUACUUCCUUUAAGAAGACUCAAGUCAUGAUCAUAUCUUAUACUUACUAAUCCUAUCGCUAGUCAACUUCUUAGGUUAAAAGGCAACUACACGAAUCUAGUUGUCCAUUGCUUUAAUCAUAUCUACCUAAACUUUCGUCUACCUUCAGUCCUCACUUCUUAAUCAUACGUAGCUAAAAGGCAACUACACGAGUCUAGUUGCCCACCUAUUUCAAAAACACAAAUGAUCCAAUGCUAUAGCUGGAUCAGAUACUCCCUGAAAAUCAGCAGUAUUCCCAAUCAACCAUUCUGUGCUUCAUCAAUGAGCUUGGCAAGGCUAUCAGUAAAGUAAAUACUCUCACACCACAGUAGAACGAUCAAUGCCAGACAAUAAUCCUUAUGCGGGCUAGUUACUCCCUUAAAUAACCCAUUGCUUCAGACAAAAGUGGCUGAGAGGAAACUGAUCGAAUCCCAUACAAGUCAGACGAAAGAUGAGAAUGUUGUUGAAUCCGCUAAGUCAGAAGUCGUUCUCAAGACUCAGAUCAUCGAGGCUUCUGGCCGUGAUACCAAUGCUAUGCAGGAUACUCUCGAUGCUAUCAUGCGAGAAAGGGAUACUCUGAGCGAU